AAAAUGAUUUUAAGAGAUAAUUAUCCCUCAAAUGCUAUCCUCAGAUAUGGCUUUGUAAGUAAAAUAACAAUGUGAAGUAAAAUCCAUGCUAGAAAACAUAUAUCAAAAUGUUUUAAUUCCCAAAUUAUAAUGUACCUAACAACUGUGAUUUUAUUGUUUUCUCAUCCUAAUCAUAAGUACAUAAAAACCAUUACAGUAAUACAUAUUCUUGAGACUUCAAAUAUUCCAAUUAAAAGAUUUUUUUU